rnacentral:rRNA from 1 species
ACGAACGCUGGCGGCGUGCCUAAUACAUGCCAGUCGAGCGGACUUAAAAAGCUUGCUUUUUAAGUUAGCGGCGGACGGGUGAGUAACACGUGGGCAACCUGCCUGUAAGACUGGGAUAACUUCGGGAAACCGGAGCUAAUACCGGAUAAUCCUUUUCUACUCAUGUAGAAAAGCUGAAAGACGGUUUACGCUGUCACUUACAGAUGGGCCCGCGGCGCAUUAGCUAGUUGGUGAGGUAACGGCUCACCAAGGCGACGAUGCGUAGCCGACCUGAGAGGGUGAUCGGCCACACUGGGACUGAGACACGGCCCAGACUCCUACGGGAGGCAGCAGUAGGGAAUCUUCCGCAAUGGACGAAAGUCUGACGGAGCAACGCCGCGUGAGUGAUGAAGGUUUUCGGAUCGUAAAACUCUGUUGUUAGGGAAGAACAAGUACGAGAGUAACUGCUCGUACCUUGACGGUACCUAACCAGAAAGCCACGGCUAACUACGUG